rnacentral:lncRNA from 1 species
AUUCAUUGAAAAUCGUGCAUUAAAAUCAAGUUUUAUGAACUACAAGUGGCCUGAAUUCUCAUGAACCUAAGAUAUGUAGGAAACCUGAUACCGAGGUUCGGCCAUAGCUCCCAAAACUUAUGCGAAAAUCAACCUCUUCCAAGAGAUGAAUCUAUGGCCGGACAAAAAUUAGAAACGUCAAACUCCCUUUGCCUAGAGUUACUUCCA